UUUCUUACAGUGUAAAGAUUGCACCAGGUGCAGUGGUAUGUGUGGAAGCAGAACUAAAAGGGGAUAUUACAGUUGGUGCACGCACUGUUAUUCACCCUAAAGCACGUAUCAUAGCAGAAGGGGGGCCAAUCAUUAUCGGAGAAAGCAAUCUUAUAGAGGAACAAGUUGUUAUCAUUAA